UGGACACACGGAAAUAGAAAUAGAGAGGCGAUGAGAGAGAGAGAGAGAGAGAGAGAGAGAGAGAGAGGCGACGAGGAAACGGGGAAUGAAGCAGAGAAGGAGAAAAAAAAAUAAGAGAGAAAAAAGCUUGUGAUGCAGAGAUGAGAAGGAGACAGAGGCUUGCAAUACUCAAAAAAAAAAUAAAUAAAUAAAGCGCUGGAUACAGAGAGAGUUCUCCGUUCCCUCGCCAGACGUAGAGCACCGCUCAAGCAGAAAGAAAAAUCUAUGGGCAUCAACACCGUUAGGCUAUAUAUCUGCCACCAUCAGAUCGUCGGAAUUGGCUUCGUUUAAGGUGAGUAGAAGCAUGAAGGCAAGCAGAUGUAGAAGCUGUCCAGGAAGCCAGACUUAAGAUAAAGCUUAAGAGAUAAAGCAGCAUGACAAGCAUUAGAGCAUUGUAUAGAUUCGAUUUACAAAUUUGGAUAACUACAAUAUAGAUGUUUAAAUCUAAACUACAAGAUCAGCAUAAACAAAACUCCUAGAAUAUAGCUUCAGUUUCUUUCUAUCUUAUCUCUUCUAUUUGAAAAUGGUUGUGAUCAUGUAGUCUUUGAAUUUGAGUAGGCUGACUCCAUUGUGGUUGCACCUUAUCAUUAUCUGCCCCACCAAGGGGAUAUGAUGGUGGGCAUGGUACUGCUGGUCGAGGAGGGUUAUGGUGGUGCUUCUGCUGAGGCCCCAGAUGUGACAACUGAAGAACUAAGGAGCUUUUUGGAGGCAUUGGACAACUGUUAUACAGGUCUCCAUUCCCAGUGCAUUGAGUAUGCUCUCAGUUAUUGAUGGCGAAGGCAAAACAAGAAUGCAGAUCUUCUUUAACUUCAUCCCUGGAUUAGGCUCACCAUACCCCUGGCUCAGAUCGCCACGAUCUGAGGAAGGAGGUUUGCAAUUGAUAGAACUUCUUGGAGAAUGUGCUAGCCAUGUAACUGCCAGAUGUCUUCAUAGUGUUAAUACCAGGCUUGAACAUAUUUCCUAUCUUGCCUCUCCUAAAGGCACUGCAAUUCAGCAAAUUGCUUCAUAUUUCAUUGAGGCAUUUGCUGAUAGGAUGAUUAAAGGCUUUACUGGUCUCUUUUGCAAUAAAAACAUGAUGUGUUCCAGGAAUCAAUUUCGUUGGAUGAAAGUUAAGUUCAAAACUAA